UCCGCGGUAGCACAACGGUAGUGCGGCGCCCUGUUAAGGCGAAGGUUGCAGGUUCGAAUCCUGCCCGCGGAGCCA
rnacentral:tRNA from 1 species